rnacentral:rRNA from 1 species
UGAACGCUGGCGGCGUGCUUAACACAUGCAAGUCGAACGAUGAAGCCUAGCUUGCUAGGUGGAUUAGUGGCGCACGGGUGAGUAAUAUAUAGAUAAUGUGCCUCUUAGUCUGGGAUAGCCAUUGGAAACGAUGAUUAAUACUAGAUACUCCUUCUUACUCUAAUGUAAGUCGGGAAAGUUUUUUCGCUAAGAGAUCAGUUAUAUCCCAUCAGUUAGUUGGUAAGGUAACGGCUUACCAAGGCAAUGACGGGUAGCGGGUUUGAGAGGAUGAUCCGCCACACUGGUACUGAGACACGGACCAGACUCCUACGGGAGGCAGCAGUGAGGAAUAUUGCACAAUGGGGGAAACCCUGAUGCAGCAACGCCGCGUGGAGGAUGACGCAUUUCGGUGUGUAAACUCCUUUUAUAUGUCAAGAAAAUGACGGUAGCAUAUGAAUAAGCACCGGCUAACUCC